CCUACGGGAGGCAGCAGUGAGGAAUAUUGGUCAAUGGGCGGGAGCCUGAACCAGCCAAGUCGCGUGAGGGAAGACGGUCCUAUGGAUUGUAAACCUCUUUAGGCGGGGAGCAAUGCCGGGCACGCGUGCCCGGAGGGAGAGUACCCGCAGAAUAAGCAUCGGCUAACUCCGUGCCAGCAGCCGCGGUAAUACGGAGGAUGCGAGCGUUAUCCGGAGUUAUUGGGUUUAAAGGGUGCGUAGGCGGAUUUUUAAGUCAGCGGUCAAAUGUCGGGGCUCAACCCGGGCCGGCCGUUGAAACUGGGGAUCUUGAGUGGGCGAGAAGGAUGCGGAAUGCGUGGUGUAGCGGUGAAAUGCAUAGAUAUCACGCAGAACUCCGAUUGCGAAGGCAGCAUACCGGCGCCCGACUGACGCUGAGGCACGAAAGCGUGGGUAGCAAACAGGAUUAGAUACCCCAGUAGUC
rnacentral:rRNA from 1 species